rnacentral:rRNA from 1 species
UACGUAGGGUGCAAGCGUUGUCCGGAAUUAUUGGGCGUAAAGAGCUCGUAGGCGGUUUGUCGCGUCUGCUGUGAAAUCUGGAGGCUCAACCUCCAGCCUGCAGUGGGUACGGGCAGACUAGAGUGCGGUAGGGGAGAUUGGAACUCCUGGUGUAGCGGUGGAAUGCGCAGAUAUCAGGAAGAACACCGAUGGCGAAGGCAGAUCUCUGGGCCGAUACUGACGCUGAGGAGCGAAAGCGUGGGGAGCGAACAGG